AGAUGAUUGAUCGAGACUGCAUGUUAUAAACAGGACACCCAAAGAUGAGAUGAAGAUACGAUAAUAUCAUGACCUUUUUCUUGAAUCGUUACCUUUUAUGGUUAAUUAAAGUAAGAUUACCUUCAAGGCUUUUCUAUAUGGGGUUCCAGGCAAAUUUAUAGGAGCUGAAACUACUCCUUUCAUGAAAGUAACAUACUCUUUUUUCAGCUGCUCAGUCUCUGGCUUUCCAGGAUCCAAGCUCAUGAUAUGUUUUGCCAUCAAAUUGAAGGUAAACUGCAAUUUCCUUCAUAUGCUAAGUAUUCCUCUCGAAUAUAGAAUUCAGUAUUGAAAUUCAUUUUCUUGGCAUUGCAAGUUUGAAGAAUUACCUUCUUUGCUUCAUCUUGAGCUGAAAAUGUACAAUUCUCCUUCCA
rnacentral:lncRNA from 1 species